CUGGGGGAGACAUAAGAGGGGCAUCUCUGUGACUUCCCACAGAGCAUCAGGACUGGGAGACAGAGGAACAGGAUCACUCUCUACAUUGCCACUGUCUAGACAAAAGGGCAAAUGUGCAAAUGAAAACACCACGGACCAAGGACCUGGCUCCUCCCCAGUUUGGGGAACCAAACCUCUGAAGAACCAGCUGAGGUUGUCAAGA
rnacentral:lncRNA from 1 species